rnacentral:lncRNA from 1 species
CAGAGCGCUCCUGGGUAAACCGGGGGGACCAGAGGGAAGCCGCUGGCUCCAGGAGGGGGCGCUCUCCAGAGGGCAAAGUGGUUACCAAGAGCAACGAUUUCUUGACAUUUUCAUCUCAGGACAAAAACAAUACAAACUCUCAAAAGGAUUUUAUUUUAAGUAAUCUUUACUCCCAAUGUGGGAUUCGAACUCACAACCCCAAGAUCAAGAGUCACAUGCUCCACUGACUGAGCCAGCCAGGUGCUCCUCAGGUUACUACGUUUUCUGAAGGAGAUGAGUGCAUUUCAAACGUGUAGUGUGAGAGAAUAUGGCACAAAAAAUU